UUUGACUUAAGGAGCAUAACAAUUUUCAAGUUUUUCAUACCAUUUCCUAUGGCAAGAUAUACAUUUUAUAUGAGAACAUAUUUACAUAUAAAUGUAUAUACACACACAUAUAUAGACUCUUAAGAUUAUAAUUUGACCAAAAAAACACCUAGGCUCAGCAUUUAAUUAAUGAAGUUAGUUAACAGCAAAUACCCAAGCAUGGUAAAUUUAAAAUUCAUCUGAAUAAAUGGAACUACUAACAAAGCAACCUGAAAUUAUUUUUAACAAGAAAAGUCAUUCAGCAAAGGAAAUUACUCUAUACUAGCAUUCACCGUUAAAGUUUAUACUGAUAUUGUCCCAGCUACCCAUGUCUGUACUGUAAUAGUAAUUUUAACAAUUGUGUCUAAAUAGUAUUCUAGUACUUUAGGAGCAGUCUAAUAAAAAGAAUUUUAUAUUCUAUUUUUGCAGAGGUUAUAAUGAUACAGAAAACAAACAAAAAAAGAGCUUUAGGCCAUAAAAUAACAUGUGCCUCAACAGAACAAUGGUGGUAAAGCUACUGUGACCAAAACAUACUAAAGUGCAUUUAUGCCUCUGAUUAUGCAACACUGUAAUUACCACAGUAUAUCAUUUUAUCUCCACCUAAAUCUUUUUGUGAAUUUCUACCACCUAUUGGCAAUCUGUCUAAAAAUCACUUCAGCUGACAAGCUUAUUUAAAAUGUGUCAUAAAGUAUGUCUUAGUUCUAUAGAAGCCUAAGAAACACCUACACCUUUGGGCUUACUCUAAAACUCAACUUCACUAACACCUGAAGUUAUUUAAAUAGAAUUCUCAGAUAAGCACAGACUUUUUAAAGCUAUUCUAUGACGCUUAANNAAGAAAAGGCAAUGCAAGAUUAGCUAUAGCCUUCAUAGAUUAUAUUCUCAUACAAAUAUAAAAAGGCUACCUUUAAGAAAAAUAUUUUAUGAAAGCAGUAUCACAUAGCGAUUCACAGCACUGACUCUGCAGUAAGACCACUGCCUUUGGCCCAUGAACUUGGGCCAUUUACUUAACCUCUCUUUGCCUCUCUUUUCUUAUUUAUAAAUGAAAAUAAUAAAAAUACUUAUUAUAAGAGUUAAAUGGGUUAAUAAAUGCAAAACAGAACAGUGCCUG
rnacentral:lncRNA from 1 species